rnacentral:rRNA from 1 species
CUUACACAUGCAAGUCGAACGAUGAACUGGCGCUUGCGUCGGGGAUUAGUGGCGAACGGGUGAGUAACACGUGAGUAACCUGCCCUUAACUCUGGGAUAAGCCUGGGAAACUGGGUCUAAUACUGGAUAUUGACUUUUCCUCGCAUGGGGUUUGGUUGAAAGAUUUUUUGGUUUUGGAUGGACUCGCGGCCUAUCAGCUUGUUGGUAUGGGUAAUGGCCUACCAAGGCGACGACGGGUAGCCGGCCUGAGAGGGUGACCGGCCACACUGGGACUGAGACACGGCCCAGACUCCUACGGGAGGCAGCAGUGGGGAAUAUUGCACAAUGGGCGAAAGCCUGAUGCAGCGACGCCGCGUGAGGGAUGACGGCCUUCGGGUUGUAAACCUCUUUCAGUAGGGAACAAGGCCACACGUUGUGUGGUUGAGGGUACUUGCAGAAGAAGCGCCGGCUAACUACGUGCCAGCAGCCGCGGUAAUACGUAGGGCGCAAGCGUUAUCCGGAAUUAUUGGGCGUAAAGAGCUCGUAGGCGGUUUGUCGCGUCUGCCGUGAAAGUCCGGGGCUCAACUCCGGAUCUGCGGUGGGUACGGGCAGACUAGAGUGAUGUAGGGGAGACUGGAAUUCCUGGUGUAGCGGUGAAAUGCGCAGAUAUCAGGAGGAACACCGAUGGCGAAGGCAGGUCUCUGGGCAUUAACUGACGCUGAGGAGCGAAAGCAUGGGGAGCGAACAGGAUUAGAUACCCUGGUAGUCCAUGCCGUAAACGUUGGGCACUAGGUGUGGGGGACAUUCCACGUUUUCCGCGCCGUAGCUAACGCAUUAAGUGCCCCGCCUGGGGAGUACGGCCGCAAGGCUAAAACUCAAAGGAAUUGACGGGGGCCCGCACAAGCGGCGGAGCAUGCGGAUUAAUUCGAUGCAACGCGAAGAACCUUACCAAGGCUUGACAUGAACUGGAAACGCCCGGAAACGGGUGCCCCGCUUGCGGCCGGUUUACAGGUGGUGCAUGGUUGUCGUCAGCUCGUGUCGUGAGAUGUUGGGUUAAGUCCCGCAACGAGCGCAACCCUCGUUCUAUGUUGCCAGCACGUAAUGGUGGGGACUCAUGGGAGACUGCCGGGGUCAACUCGGAGGAAGGUGAGGACGACGUCAAAUCAUCAUGCCCCUUAUGUCUUGGGCUUCACGCAUGCUACAAUGGCCGGUACAAUGGGUUGCGAUACUGUGAGGUGGAGCUAAUCCCAAAAAGCCGGUCUCAGUUCGGAUUGGGGUCUGCAACUCGACCCCAUGAAGUCGGAGUCGCUAGUAAUCGCAGAUCAGCAACGCUGCG